CCCUUAGAUGUUCUGGGCUGCACCCGUGCUACACUGGCAGGUUCAGCGAGCUUCAUGCCCUGAUCUGAAAGGAAUGGGAAAUCUUUUCAAAACCUGCCGUGCUUGGGAUAGAUGUUUGCAAUUAUUCAUCUUCAACGAGGAUUGCCUUGUAAGCGCACGUCAUCAGCGUGCAUUGAAUACGACCCUGUAUUCUGUACACACCGCCCGUCGCUCCUACCGAUUGAAGUUUUCGGUGAGUUGACAGGAGGAUUUUUUUGAAACUGGUUCGCCAGUGGAUUUUAGAUCCAAAUGCCAACGAAUCGAUGGCUUUAGAGGAAGGAGAAGUCGGAACA
rnacentral:rRNA from 1 species